rnacentral:tRNA from 1 species
GGAAACUUCCGUAGCUCAGUGGUAGAGCAUCUGAUUUACACUCAGAAGGUCCUGGGUUCAAUCCCCAGCAUCUCCA